GGCGCGGGCCAGACGCCGCUGGGAGGCAGGGGUGGGGGCUGGGCUCUCCCUUGGGUCGGCGGGGCUCGCGCAGCCCGAGGCGGGGGCGCUCUGGGGGACCGGGGCCCUUCCCAGGAUGGCGGGGGCCCCGGGGCUGCGUGUUUGGAAGGGCCGCCCCUCCGCCAUCUACGGGCACCCUCCUAGAGACCGUCGCUCCCGCGAGUCGUGGCGCCUCCAGUCUCAAAGACAGGAGGCGCGAGACUUCGUGAGCUCCCCUCCCCCAGAUUGGAAGGAGGGGCUGCCGUUGGCCGGGGAGAGACGGCAGGGAAGGUUCUCGGCGGAAUAAAGAAUUAGUGGGCGGCUGGCAGCCCAGCCCCAGACAGUUGGCCACCUGCUGCUUUCCUUCUCGCUCCGUUUUUGUCUCUGAGUGGUGGGAGAUGCUUUUGUUUCUGAGCCAGCUUUGAUGGCUCUCUCCCCCUUGUUUCAGCAUCCUAGGGUGGCAUGUUCAGGUCCCUAACAAGAGGGACACCCACCACGUAUUGAAGGCCGGCGGGUGCUGGGGGUCGUGCCAGUGGUCAAGGGCCCAGAGUCUGCCUGCAUGAGGCCAAGGGGGGCGGGAGUGCCGUUGUGUCCACCCAGCACUGAGUCCCUCGUGGGCCUUUCCUAGCCCCGUUUGAGCAGGAGUGAGGGAGGAAGCGGAGGGUUUCGCGACGUUAGUGCCCUGCGCCUGGGGCUCGGUCCGUGGAGGAGCGUAGAGCAGAGGAACCCUCCGGAAGAUCCGCUGCUCGGCAGGAGCAGAAAGCGCCUAGCACAUCGUCCCCUUCCUCAGGCAGCCGGCCGGGGCUGUAACCACUGUAACCCGGGCGUUCUGCUCUCAGGGAGUCACGUGUGACAGGCCACCCUCUCGUCGGGGCCGGCCCUCUGGUCCUGGUGACCCUCCCAGCAGCCCUUUGUACCAACAAGAAGCGAGGCUGCCUUUGGGUCUCGCGUCCAUCUCUGGCCCGAGGCUCCGGGCUGGGCGCUGGCUCGUGUCCCCACAGCCACUUGACAGGGGCCAGCCCGCAGCCCUCCGUCCCCACACGUCUAGCCCCUGGUCCGUGUGCUUUUAUUUCUGUGUGUGAGGUUUUAUGAAACCCGGGACUGUUAGGUUUUUUUUCAAUAAAACAUCAGGGAUAUCUUUCCCUGUUAA